AAGUCGUAACAAGGUUUCCGUAGGUGAACCUGCGGAAGGAUCAUUAACGAGUUAGGGUCCCUCGUGGCCCGACCUCCCAACCCUUUGUCUACUUAACCACUGUUGCUUCGGCGAGCCCGUCUGUAAUGGACCGCCGGGGGGUACCUUGAUCGGCCCUCUGGUCAGCGCUCGUCGGUGGCCAAACUUUUAAAAUCUUAACCAAACGUGCCUCAGUCUAAGUAUUAUUUGCUAAAUAAAAGCAAAACUUUCAACAACGGAUCUCUUGGUUCUG
rnacentral:misc_RNA from 1 species